UACGAACCGUCCAAACGUUAUUCGGAUUUAUUGGGCUUAAAGGGCGCGUAGGCGGGCGGCCGCGUCCGGGGUGAAAUACCACGGCUCAACCGUGGAACGGCCUCGGAUACGGGCGGCCUCGAGGGAGGUAGGGGCAUCGGGAACUGUGAGUGGAGCGGUGAAAUGCGUUGAUAUUCACAGGAACUCCGGUGGCGAAGGCGCGGUGCUGGACCUCAUCUGACGCUGAGGCGCGAAAGCCAGGGGAGCGAACGGG
rnacentral:rRNA from 1 species